CCGCCGGAGUGCCGAAACCAAACUCUUGAUAUUUUAUGUCUCUCUGAGUAAACUUUUAAAUAAGUCAAAACUUUCAACAACGGAUCUCUUGGUUCUGGCAUCGAUGAAGAACGCAGCGAAAUGCGAUAAGUAAUGUGAAUUGCAGAAUUCAGUGAAUCAUCGAAUCUUUGAACGCACAUUGCGCUCGCCAGUAUUCUGGCGAGCAUGCCUGUUCGAGCGUCAUUUCAACCAUCAAGCUCUGCUUGCGUUGGGGAUCCGCGGCUGCCCGCGGUCCCUCAAAAACAGUGGCGGGCUCGCUAGUCACACCGAGCGUAGUAACUCUACAUCGCUAUGGUCGUGCGGCGGGUUCUUGCCGU
rnacentral:rRNA from 1 species